CAGGGCCGUGCAGUGCAGCAAGCCAUGAUUUCUGAUCAGCCCUGCAAUUGUGAGGGGGAAGCAACCAAAACAUGACCAUGGACUACGUAGCAGAGCCAAGAAGUGUGCAGGAGUGAUCGUGACACACGUUGUUUAUCCAGUCCUCUCUACCUGCAUCCAACGAUGUCCCCAUCUUCUACAGCAGUGGAGCAUCAGUCUCCUGCUUUGGGACUCAAGACUCAGACUAGAGCUUACCCCCUCCUUGGUCCUGCUAGUUCUCCGGUCUUCAGACUCUGAUUAGAACUGGGUCACUGGAUUUCCUGGACUUCCAAGUUGCCAAC